GCUUCUGGGUCGGGGUUUCGUACGUAGC
rnacentral:piRNA from 6 species